CUCCCUGCAAACACAUUGAGCUAAGGGUUCUCGGGUAGUGAGAUACGACAUUCGAAAUCAGAAAUACACGAGGAGAGGGGCAGAGGGCAACGUUUGCCAGCCGCAAUCUAUGGGAGUUUUGCCAGCUAAUUAGAGCUGAAGACACUGUUGUGUGAGGCUUUAGAUAGCACUUCAUUCUAAGAGAAGUCCGAGCUAUUGAGAGUUUCGGCUCAUGAACCAGGAUCGCCACAGACCUGGUUCCUCCGUGAGAGACGGAAAGCAAAGGGCUGCUGGACGGGUGAGGCUUGACGGUCAAGGUGCUACCACAUUACCCUCUUCUGACCACGGAGCACGCACUCAGUGACGCCACAAUCACACGAGGGAGGCCGCACUGCCACAAGUGCCGACGGGUCGACCGUGUAGAAACAGUCGCCACAGCCCCAACGGUGUAAAUAACGAAAAUUGGAAAAUUUGUAUAUACAUACUGUAAAUUUUAAUUAAUAAUAUAUUACCUCUGUUUAACAGUUAUUAGUGUGUGUUGAUAUCAUGGGGUCCGCUCAUAAGUCCGACGCCUCAUAGGUCCAACGCCUCAUAAGUCCGACAAAAUCGC